UCCUUGAAAGAAAAUAAAAUAAUCUCAAAUUCAAAAAAAAAAAAAACUGAAAAAGCUUACGGCCUUUCUGGUGGUAGUACAGUUGAAAGACACUUUCCUCUUCUCUAGCUUCCCAAACCUUUUUUCUGAUCCUCAGUCUUUGGGUUUCUUUUAUCCUUUGAUUUCUCCCCAUCUUUUUGAUGAUUCGCUCUGUUGUUGUUGGUUUUGGACAUUGAUUUAUAGUAAUCAUCAUAUCUAUUGUUCAUCUUCCUCUGUUAGAUAUGGAAGCUAUCAAGAAGCAGGCUACCAAGCUCAGAGAGCAAGUUGCCAAGCAACAGCAAGCAGUACUUAGGCAUCUUGGGCAUUUUAGUAAUGAAGACGUUACUGUUGAUGAAGCUGAUCUUCAAUGUCAUCAAAAGCUUCAAGACCUGUACAGUUCUACAAAGGCAGCUAAGCAUUUGCAGCGGAACAUCGUCCGUGGCAUAGAAGGUUUUAUUGCAACAAGCUCAAAGCUGAUAGAAAUAUCUAGGAAGUUGGCUGAUGAUUGUUGCAAGUUUGGAGUUGAAGAUCAAAAUACUGGUUCCUCUCUUGCAAAAGCCGCCCUUCACUUUGGCAAUUCACAUAAAUCAAUAGAAGAUGAAAGGGAGACCUUGCUUGGGAUCCUUGGUGAGCGGGUUUCUGAGCCACUACGGGCAUUAAUUACAGGAGCUCCUCUAGAAGAUGCUCGGCACUUGACCCACCGAUAUGACAGAUUCCGGCAAGAGGUUGAAGCUCAGGCAGCAGAUGUUUUGAGGCGUAGAUCAAAAACCAGGGAAGCUGAUAUUUCUGCAGAAAGCUACAUGAAGCUUAAACAAGCAGAAGCAAGAUUGGCUGACCUUAAAUCCUCAAUGAUGGUUCUAGGAAGAGAAGCAACUGCUGCCAUGUUGUCAGCUGAGGAUCAGCAGCAAAAGAUUACUUUCCAGCUGCUUCUUGCAAUGGUUGACGCCGAAAAAUCUUAUCAUCAACAUGUUCUUGCUAGUUUAGAGAAGCUACAUGCUGAGAUGAUUCUAGAGGGGCAGAUGAACGAGUCAUUGAACUCAGUGACGUUGCAGAGAGAGGUGAAUGUCACCUCUGCACAUGAUAACUUUAGUUCGAAUAAAUCUGAAGCUCAGGGAAGCAAUCAAAGCGAUGUAUUUUUCAUAGCAAAGGUUGUACACCCAUUUGAUGCUGAAGCAGAUGGGGAAUUAAGCUUAGCAGUUGGUGAUUAUGUUGUGGUUCGCCAGGUGGGUCCUAGUGGAUGGUCGGAGGGAGAGUGCAAGGGCAAGGCUGGAUGGUUUCCCUCUGCUUAUGUAGAAAGACAAGAGAAAGCACCAGCAAGCAAGUUAAUUGAGCCGAACUCCGCAGCCUCAGCCUGAUCUGCUAUCAAAAGGUAACCGCUCUGAGGGAGUUGAACAGCAUAGUGGUAAACAAAAAAGUUGAACACGCCCCUCGUAAUAAUCUCAAAACAAAUACAAAAUCUGAACCCAGAGGUUCCAUGAUGACAUUGUGCCCUCAAAUCCUGGCUCAUUCCCAUUUCGCACCAAGUCAAAAAGUUUAUGAAGAUUGAAAAGACCCAUAGAACAUAGUUUGCCAGAAAUGUGUUCACUGAAGAAGCUCUGCUGUAUGCUGUGUUUUAAGUUGGUUCAGCAACCAUUUACUCAAUAAAUCUCUACUGCUGAUAAACUAAAUUGGGUGCACUAAAAAUGCCGAAGUUAUUUCAAGAGUUACCAGAUUUCUCUGUAUUUUCAUUUCAAGAAAAUUGCUAAUGGCAGAUUGGCAGGCACAGAUGCAGUAUGGUAGAGGAUUUUGAGAAGCAGAAACCUACAGUUUUUGUUGGAACAUUUUGAAAACAUUCUUUUAUAAGUAAAAGAAUAUGUUCCAUAAAUGAAAUGUUAUGUCUUCAAUAAGAAUUAUCAAGAGUUGCAUCUUUUGAUUA